rnacentral:tRNA from 1 species
GGAGGGGUGCCGGAGUGGUUGAACGGGGCGGUCUCGAAAACCGUUAACGGGCGUAAGCUCGUUCGAGGGUUCGAAUCCCUCCCCCUCCG